GAUGCAGCCAUGCCGCGUGUGUGAAGAAGGACCUCGGGUUGUAAAGCACUUUCAGUAGGGAGGAAGGUAGUGUAGUUAACACCUGCAUUAUUUGACGUUACCUACAGAAGAAGCACCGGCUAACUCCGUGCCAGCAGCCGCGGUAAUACGGAGGGUGCGAGCGUUAAUCGGAAUUACUGGGCGUAAAGCGCAUGCAGGCGGCCUGUUAAGUCAGAUGUGAAAGCCCGGGGCUUAACCUCGGAAUUGCAUUUGAAACUGGCAGGCUAGAGUCUUGUAGAGGGGGGUAGGAAUUUCAGGUGUAGCGGUGAAAUGCGUAGAGAUCUGAAGGAAUACCAGUGGCGAAGGCGGCCCCCUGGACAAAGACUGACGCUCAGAUGCGAAAGCGUGGGGAGCAAACAGGAUUAGAUACCCUGGUAG
rnacentral:rRNA from 1 species